GACACUCCGCAACCUCGCUGGGCAACCUGUUCUAGUGCUCGGUCACCUCGACAGUAAAGAAGUUCUUCGUAUUCAGGUGGAACUUCCCUUCCUGUGCAUCAGUUUCUGCCCAUUGCCUCUUGCCCUAUUACUUGGCACCACGGAGAAGAGGCUGCUCCAUCUUCUUGACACCCAUCCUUUAGGUGUUCUGCAAACACAACAGUUCCCAGACAUGGCUGAAGGAUGCAUCCAUGGCUCAGGCCAGCCAACCAAAACCAGCCUGCAGUCUCCCCAGCACCGCAACAAUAACGAUAAAGAUGGGCCAAGCUGACUUUUCUGGAGAAGAAAACUGUUGACUGUCCUGAGUUUUGGAUGGAGAUGCUUGAAAUUGCUGCCUGUUAGUUUUUCUGACCACACAAGCCCCACUUGCUGAAAACUUGAAUACUGUGUCUUCUGAUUCUGCUGCAAGACUUGACAGAUCAGGUUUCUGCAAGAAGCAGUGUUUCAUGUGAUAGUGCUGAUGCGCGCUUUGGAGAUCAUCAAAGUUCUUGUUGCAUGCAGCACAUCUAACAACAUACAUCUCUCCCUUAGAGUUUACUGACUUGUGGCUCUUGAGGUGAGUGUUCAUAUCAGCAAUAUUCUGUGCCGUGGCAGAGCACAGGCAGCAGCGAAACCAUAGGUUCCCUUUCUGCAGCAUGGCUUUCUGACAACUCUCAUGAUCGUUCCUCCUGUUUAUUUUGGAGAUGUAAGUGGUCCGGCAACCGCAGGUUAAGCGCUCUCCUUGUUCCACUGGGAGGAAGUCCUCAUCCUUUUUUAUUGACAGCUCCAUCUGCUCAGGCACAAAUGUAUAGUCCAUGCUAUGAAGCGUCUUGUAAUGGAUUAGAAAUUCUUCCUCUGUGUUGAAGAAGAGAUUACCACAAAGGCCACAGAAAUAUUUAAUCUGCAUCUCCUGAUUAUGAUGCUCUUGGAAGUGCCGCUGUAGAGUUCCUACUUUCCGAAAAUGAUUUUUACAUAUGCCACAUGAGUACCUGUGAAAUGCAUGGCUUUCUAAGGACCUGCAGUGUUGCUGAACACUCUCUUCAGACUCAAACAUCUCCUCACAAAUGCAGCACUGCCAUUUUCCCACAACAGGACCACUUUCAGGGGACAGUUCCACAGGGCCAGAAAUGCAGUCUCUAUCUCCACCUGCAGAAAUGCUCACCGCAUCAGAAGCAGAUGGCAUAGGUUCAUCUUCUACAGCUUCUUGCUCAUAGUAGUAACUAUGCCCACCAUGAAAUUCAGUUACAUGUCUCAUAAUAUCCUCUUCUCUAAGAUCUACAGAGCAUGCUCUGCACCAGAGAAGAAAAUUAGUCAAGUGUGCUCCUCCAUGGAAUCGACUCAUAUGCAGGCGGAUAAUGCUUGAAUUUUCAGCCAGUUUUCCACACACAGCACACUUGUGACAAAUCCUAUUUGCUGAUAAAAUGUGCUUUUCUACUGACUCUUCUGUAAAAAACUUUUGAAGGCAUUCACAAAACCAGGCUUUUACUUUGGAAGCAGUACCUUGACUUUGGUUUGCAACUUUAUCUUCACUUUUACCUUCUGAAUUACUCCUCCGUUUUGAAGGACUAGACCCUGUUUCACUGGAGGACUCAUCUGGACUCAAGUGUCUUUUCAGCAGUGGUCUUGACCGUUCCACAAUGUGGGCCAAAUGAGACUGACUUUUAUGUUUUCCAUUGACAUGGCAGAACAUCAAGAUUGAUUCUUCCAGUGUAGUAAAAACUCUAAUGUUAUGUUGAGUGGUUUGUUUGUGUUGGGUCAUCUGAUUCUUUUCAGCAAACAGUUCAUCACAGUUCUCACAGUGACCUUUCAUUUUAAAUAUUUCUGCAACUUGGGAGAUGCUUUUCUUUGACAGUGCCAUGGGCCCAGAAUUAUAACAACGUGUUCUAGAAUGGAUAAAAAAACAUAAAGGAGGUUAUAUCACCACCUGAAACAUUUGUAAACUUUCAGAGACUGUCCCACCAGCAAGAUGUUGGGAGACAGAGCUGGGACAGCUGACCUCAAAUGGCCAAAUGGACAUCCCACAGCAUAAGACAUCAUGCUCAGCAAUAAAAGUUGUGUAAAGGAGGAGGAAGGAGAUAGUUGGGAAGACAAAUGCCAUCACUCCAAGUAACUACCACAUGUGACAGAGCUCUGCCUUUCAAUUCAAGAAUCUUGUUUUGCUUUGCACGUGCACGGAAUUUGUGCUUUGCUUAUUAAGCUGUUUUUACAUCAGCCCACAGUGCUCUCACCUUUACCCUAGACCCCACCAGUGGCAGUGAGUGAGCAGCUGUGUGGGGCUGAGCUGCCUAUGGGGGUUAACCCAUGACACUGUCCUCAACUCCUCACCAUCCUGCCUAUGGACACGUUCAGUAGGUAAAGGGCAGCAUCUGCUGGAAUUGAACACUGACACACUGAGUACUGACUAGCAAUAUCACCUAGGAACACACAGCCUAUAGCUUUUGUUCCUCUUUCCCUGCAUUAGGGGCUUUUCUCUUUAUCUUACCAUCAACUUGUGUAAGUGACCCUUUUGGUUUAUUUCAAGUUUGGAUGAAGAUAUAACUAAACUGGAGUACAGAAAUCUGACUUCUCAAAAAACUCAGAUAUUAAAAAAUGCUAAACAAGAGGAAGCCAUAAAUUCUGAAUUAAAAAAACAAACCACACACGCCAAGUAAAAAACCAAACCAAAUCAUCAAAAAAAAACCUCCAUGAAGCUCACCUACAUAAAUGGUAACAUAUUAAUUGGCUCUCAAAUGGAGCUUUGUCAGUACAUGCAGUUUAAAGCAGACUUGAUGCUGAUGUCCUAAGUUAGAGCACAUUCUUUCAUUAUUACUCCUUGCACUGAAUUCUUGCAAUGUAUCUCCUUACCUCUGAA